rnacentral:rRNA from 1 species
GACGAACGCUGGCGGCGUGCUUAACACAUGCAAGUCGAACGCUGAAGACCUGGCUUUUGUUGGGUUGGAUGAGUGGCGAACGGGUGAGAAACACGUGAGUAACCUGCCCUCUUCUUUGGGAUAACGCCCGGAAACGGGUGCUAAUACUGGAUAUUCACUGAUCUUCGCAUGGGGGUUGGUGGAAAGGUUUGUUCUGGUGGGGGAUGGGCUCGCGGCCUAUCAGCUUGUUGGUGGGGUGAUGGCCUACCAAGGCUUUGACGGGUAGCCGGCCUGAGAGGGUGACCGGUCACAUUGGGACUGAGAUACGGCCCAGACUCCUACGGGAGGCAGCAGUGGGGAAUAUUGCACAAUGGGCGAAAGCCUGAUGCAGCGACGCCGCGUGAGGGAUGGAGGCCUUCGGGUUGUAAACCUCUUUCGCUCAUGGUCAAGCCGCAACUGUGGGUUGUGGUGAGGGUAGUGGGUAAAGAAGCGCCGGCUAACUACGUG